CAGCCCCGCGCGGGGAGGCCAGGCCAGGCCCUGCCAAGGGCGCCAGGCGCCGCGACCCCAGCCGGACGCGCCAGGUGCGCCUCGCCCGGGAAAGGCUUUUCCGGUCCCGUGGGCAGAGGGACAGGCAGGAACUCGGGCGGGCUGUCUCCACCCCAAGUGGGGCGGGUCCCGCCCGGGAUAAGACCCGCUGCCCGGCCCCGGAGAGGGUGUGACCUCGGUGGCCGAAGAGGACGAGCGCAGCCCCGCCUGGGCACCCAGCGCUAAAGAGACUCCUUUCUCCUGGUUUCCUUCCCGUUUCUCUCCUCAAGUAUCUACUGCCUUCAGCACAGUGCCCGGCACUUGGGAAUCUUGUUAUUUCUCAGCUGAAGCAGACAGAUGAGAAGCUGGCAUGUGAGAUAUGGCUGAAAGAACUGGAGCCGUGUAGACUGGAAAGGGAGGACUCUCAUGGGUAUGGGGGUGCAUGUUUGUGGCCCAAAAUUCCUAGGGGGCUUGACAUGUGGAUGAGCGAAUAAAUCCCCUCUGUGGGACUUUGGCUGGUAGAGCCAGAACAAGGGGUAGGGGUUUUUGGUUAAAUUUCAAGACGUGUCUUUUAAAACCCACAGACUGUAUGGCCUUAGAGAUGGUGAGACGCUCUCUAAAGGUGUCCACACAAAGAAACGGCAGCCCCUUUCUGAUGGGGCUUCUGAAGGAUAGGUUAAACUAAGUUGACUUUAAGGUCAUAGUUCCUAAACUUCAGGGUGCACCCAAAUCCCCUGGGAGCUUGUACAACAUGCAGAUUCAUGCCUCCUCUGCCAAAUUCUGAUACUGUAUGAUGGGACAGAACCCAAUAAUUUGCAUAUUUAACAGAUCAUUGUAAUUUGGGUGCUUCUAGGGUCUUGCUUUGAGAAACUUUGAUUUAGGAAAGCAAAUGAUAGGUGCAUGCUUGAUAAAUUGAAUAAAUCUUAAUGAGAGCAUAUGGACCUUCCUAAGGGAAUUUAGGCUUGUCAUUAUUGCUUCACACUCUAGGAAGGCAGUCCAUGCUGAAACCUUCCAGGCUCUCGGGGAAAGUCCUUGUACCCUCAUUAUCACAUCUCCUUUGUGAUUUGAUCAACAACAGUUUUUUGUUUUUGUUUUUUUUCUCUUCAAACUUACCCUAACUAAGUCUUACAGUGCCUAAAACCUGGAGACCUCUAUGGAGCCCACCUGAAGGUUUGUUUUUUGUUGCUGUUUGUCUGUUUUUUUAACAGUUUAAUUUUUAGAGCAAUUGCAGGUUUUGAAAAAAUUAAACUGAAAGUACAAGAUUUCCAUAUAACUCCCUUUUUCCUCUCAGUUUUCCCUAUUAUUAACAUUU
rnacentral:lncRNA from 1 species